rnacentral:misc_RNA from 1 species
UACGAGAGCCUCAAGCGUUACCCGAAAUUAUUGGGCGUAAAGCGUCCGCAGGCGGCUCUGCAAGUAUGCUGUCAAAUCACAGUGCUUAACACUGUGGCCGCAGCGUAAACUGCAAAGCUAGAGGAUGGGAGAGGUACCUGGAAUUGUCGGUGUAGUAGUAAAAUGCGUUAAUAUCGACAGGAACACCAAAUGCGAAGGCAUGGUACUGGAACACUCCUGACGCUCAGGGACGAAAGCGUGGGUAGCGAAUCGG